GGCUCUCUUCCUCUUUUUUUUUAAAGAUUCCCUAAAGAUCUGAGAGAGAGAAAUGAAGUUUGGAUGAAGCAACCACAACUCUACUAAUUAGCCCUAACAAAAGUCCCAUAACUCCCAGCCUAGCCCUCCAUAGUCUCCAACUUUGCAAUUGGCUUUCAAAGCAAUAAUUGUGAGCAAUUUAAUAUGCUCAUCCAACGAAUAUAGAACUAGCAAAUGACCAUUGCAUAACCAGCUUGACAA
rnacentral:lncRNA from 1 species